rnacentral:rRNA from 1 species
AGUAAAUUGGUUAAGUUAGAAAGGGCGCACGGUGGAUGCCUUGGCACUAGGAGCCGAAGAAGGACGGGACUAACACCGAUAUGCUUUGGGGAGCUGUACGUAAGCGUUGAUCCAGAGAUUUCCGAAUGGGGGAACCCACUAUCUUUAGUCGGAUAGUAUCCUUACGUGAAUACAUAGCGUGAGGAAGGCAGACCCAGGGAACUGAAACAUCUAAGUACCUGGAGGAAGAGAAAGAAAAAUCGAUUUCCUGAGUAGCGGCGAGCGAAACGGAAAGAGCCCAAACCAAGAAGCUUGCUUCUUGGGGUUGUAGGACACUCUAUACGGAGUUACAAAAGAAAGUUAUAAAUGAAGCGGUCUGGAAAGGCCCGCCAAAGACGGUAACAGCCCGGUAGUUGAAAUGGCUUUCCCUCCAGAGUGGAUCCUGAGU